UUUGACUGUGCAAAGGUAGCAUAAUCAUUAGUCUUUUAAUUAAAGGCUGGAAUGAAUGGUUGGACGAGGUAAAUUACUAUCUUAUAAGUAAUUUUUAUUGAAUUUAGGAGUUGAGUGAAAACACUCAAAUUUUAUUAAGGGACGAGAAGACCCUAUAGAGUUUAAUAUGUUAAGUGUUGAUUGAGUUAUAAAUUUAAUUUUUGGUUAAUAUGAUAUAUAUUUAGUUGGGGUGACUGAAAGAUAAGAAGAACUCUUUUUGUUUAUGAAUAAUAUAAUUAGAUAGGGGAUCCAUAUAUAAUGAUUAUAAGAUUAAAUUACCUUAGGGAUAACAGCAUAA
rnacentral:rRNA from 1 species